CGCAUCAUUUUGCCAGGUGAAACGACAUUUCAGCAGACAUUUCUUUUCUCGUCUUUCGCUCUGAAGUUAUCCAGUGACCUUAUGUUCUGGAUCGAUCCGACCCAUCUGCUUCUGAGUCUAUGCGGACGGGGGAAGGGUGUGACGGCCAGUGGCCACUCCUCUUGAGUCUCUUGUGACAUGUACAGGCCACCUGAUCACAGCCCCGAAAAAUCGAACCCACAGAGCCAUGAAGGUCACCUUGCUUGCUAGUUGACACCACCCAUCAAAACCCUAACCCCACCAUCACCCAAUCACCUCCCCACCUGGUUCUCCUCCCUCCUACUCUGCAAGUCCACUGUAACCCAGUAUACACACCUGCCACCACCCAGAAACGGAGCAACACCACAAUCCCAAUCCCCAAAGCCGACAAAAGGAAAGCGAAGACAACAAUGGCAAAGGCAGCAAUGGCGACCAGAGCCCAUCUGCUCCUGAAAUGCUUGUGUCCCGCCACCAGCACCACCACCUGCAGAAGCAUCACCACCACCUCAUUCUUCCUCCAGGAGCCAGAACUUCGCGACCCGUCUCCCCCACCAACCACGCCUCUGCCUCCGAACCCAUCAACCGGCAGCCCUCUUUACCAGGAGAACUGGAGGAGCCCGCGGCCGGACCCUCUCUUGUCGCAGUCGCUGGUCCCUCUGGGGCUUAUCGACCAGGCACCCUCCCGCCGGAUCCAGGCGUUCUCGGAGACUCUUGACCUCCCCAACCUUCUCAAUGUCUUUGCCAAUUGGAUGACAUCUCAGAGGUGGUCCGACCUGAAGCAGUUGUUUGAGUUCUGGAUCCGAUCACUCGACAAGAAUGGCAAGCCUAACCGUCCCAACGUUGAUCUCUAUAACCACUACCUCCGUGCUAACCUCAUGAUGGGCGGUUCCGCCGGCGAGCUCCUCGACCUCGUGGCGCAGAUGGAGGGUUACGGUAUAUCCCCCAACACCGCCUCCUACAACCUCGUGCUCAAAGCGAUGUAUCAGUCUAGGGAAGCAGAGGCCGCGGAGAAGCUACUUGAUCGGAUGCUCCAGACAGGAAAAGAUUCUUUGCCAGAUGCUGAAUCUUAUGAGUUGGUUAUUAGCUUGCUGUUCCUUCUGAAUCAGAUUGAUUCUGCUCUAAAAUAUUUGGAUUUGACGCUGAAAUCUGGUUAUAUGGUAUCAACGAGUGUCUUUACAAAUUGUGUGAGCAGCUGUGUUAAUGCUGGGCGACUGGAUACUUUGACAUCUAUCAUCGAGAGGUGCAAGGCUAUGGAUGAAAAUAAGGCAUUAUGUCCCAGUUGGAACCUGUGCACAUUUAUUGCAGAUGUUGCACUUCAAGCAGAUAAUAGCAAGUUAGCAUUCCAUGCUUUGAAAUUCUUGGCUUCGUGGAUUGUUUGUGGUGAAAAUGCCAGACCUGCAGUUCUUCUGUCUGUUGAUGAAGGCUUGACGGUGGCAGCCUUGGGAACUGCUGCACGGACUUACAAUGCUAAUCUUUUGGAUGCAUCAUGGGCAAUCCUACGUCGUUCUUUGCGCCAGAGAAGGGCACCUACUCCUGAGGCAUACCUUGGAAAAAUACAUGCAUAUUCUUCUUUGGGAAACUUGCAGCGGGCUUUUAGUACUUUAAAUGAAUUUGAGAAUGCAUAUGGAAAUUCAACAGAGGUGGAACAAGACAUGUUCUCUCCAUUUACCUCCUUAUAUCCACUUGCUGUGGCUUGUUCUAAAAAUGGGUUUGCAACACUGGACUCUGUGUAUUUUCAAUUGGAGAACUUGAGUCAGGCAGAUCCUCCUUAUAAAUCUGUUGCUGCUCUAAACUGUAUUAUACUUGGUUGUGCAAACAUAUGGGAUUUGGACCGCGCAUAUCAGACAUUUGAAGCUAUCAGUAGCAGUUUUGGUCUGACUCCCGACAUCCAUUCGUAUAAUGCUUUAAUGAGUGCAUUUGGAAAGCUGAAAAAGACAUUUGAAGCUUCGAGGGUCUUUGAGCAUUUGACAAGUUUAGGAGUAAAACCAACUGAGACUACGUAUGCCUUGCUUGUUGAUGCACACCUUAUCAAUCGUGAUCCAAAGGCUGCUUUAGCAAUAGUUGAUGAAAUGAUCAAGGCUGGAUUUACGCCCUCUAGAGACACCUUGAUGAAGGCCAGAAGACGGAGUGUUCGGGAGCUAGACAAUGAAAGUGAUCAACAGGUUCAAUCUUUACUUCGAAAGUUUAAAUAUCGUUUAGGUGGUCAAGCUCGCCGAGAGUUGCUCUUCUCGCUGGAGUACAGCACUGACUACACCUAGGAGUUGCCUCAGCUGAUUGGUGUGAUGUUGGACUCUCCUUUUAUUGGGGAACUUUGGAAGAUAAAGUUUACCCCCUUCAAGAUUCCGUAGCAAUCUCUGUGAAGUAAAUGUCAUACUCUUAGAUCUCUGAAAAGGGAAAUUUGAGAAAUGAACGAUGCUCUCUCUCUCUUUCUCUCUCCAUUGACAUUCUGAUCAUUUUAAGCUUUAUAUUUAUUUUGGUUCUUUUAGUGAUUUCUGUUUUGUGCGUCAUAUAGAGAGAGAGAGAGAUGCUAAAGCUAGCAAUGACUUAAUGAGCUUGGGUCUUAGCUGCUCAAGUAAAUGAGUCUCUUAACUAGUUGGCAUGUUCCUGUAUGAUAAUUGUCCAUUAUUAGUUGUUAUUUGCAUAUGGAUCGCUGGUGCACCCAGACCGUACUGCGGAUAAGAGAACAAUGAGAUUUUUUUUUUUCUUUGUAAGAACUGAUCAAUUCGAUCUAUUAAUGUUCUUCCACGAGCAUUUUGGAGACCA